GACGAACGCUGGCGGCGUGCUUAACACAUGCAAGUCGAACGGAAAGGCCCUGCUUUUGUGGGGUGCUCGAGUGGCGAACGGGUGAGUAACACGUGAGUAACCUGCCCUUGACUUUGGGAUAACUUCAGGAAACUGGGGCUAAUACCGGAUAGGAGCUCCUGCUGCAUGGUGGGGGUUGGAAAGUUUCGGCGGUUGGGGAUGGACUCGCGGCUUAUCAGCUUGUUGGUGGGGUAGCGGCUUACCAAGGCUUUGACGGGUAGCCGGCCUGAGAGGGUGACCGGCCACAUUGGGACUGAGAUACGGCCCAGACUCCUACGGGAGGCAGCAGUGGGGAAUAUUGCACAAUGGGCGGAAGCCUGAUGCAGCAACGUCGCGUGCGGGAUGACGGCCUUCGGGUUGUAAACCGCUUUCGCCUGUGACGAAGCGUGAGUGACGGUAAUGGGUAAAGAAGCACCGGCUAACUACGUG
rnacentral:rRNA from 1 species